rnacentral:rRNA from 1 species
UACAGAGGGGGCAAGCGUUGUUCGGAAUUACUGGGCGUAAAGGGCGCGUAGGCGGCCUUCUAAGUCAUGCGUGAAAUCCCUGGGCUCAACCCAGGAACUGCGUCUGAUACUGGAAGGCUUGAAUUCGGGAGAGGGAUGCGGAAUUCCAGGUGUAGCGGUGAAAUGCGCAGAUAUCAGGAGGAACACCGGUGGCGAAGGCGGGUCUCUGGGCCGAUACUGACGCUGAGGAGCGAAAGCGUGGGGAGCGAACAGG